UACGGGGGGUGCGAGCGUUGUCCGGAAUCACUGGGCGUAAAGGGCGCGUAGGUGGCCUGAUAAGGGUGUGGUGAAAGUCCGGGGCUCAACCCCGGAUCUGCCGUGCCGACUGUUGGGCUGGAGUACUGUAGGGGCAGGCGGAAUUCCGGGUGUAGUGGUGAAAUGCGUAGAGAUCCGGAGGAACACCAAAGGCGAAGGCAGUGUCCUGGGGAGUACCUGACGCUCAGGUGCGAAAGCCAGGGGAGCGAACGGG
rnacentral:rRNA from 1 species